ACAACGUCCAGGUUGGAGUGCAGUAACUGUGACUGGGCGGGCUGACGGAGAGUAAAUACACCAUUAGAUGGCGCUGUGUUACACAACGUCCAGGUUGGAGUGCAGUAACUGUGACUGGGCGGGCUGACGGAGAGUAAAUACACCAUUAGAUGGCGCUGUGUUAAACAACGUCCAGGUUGGAGUGCAGUAACUGUGACUGGGCGGGCUGACGGAGAGUAAAUACACCAUUAGAUGGCGCUGUGUUACACAACGUCCAGGUUGGAGUGCAGUAACUGUGACUGGGCGGGCUGACGGAGAGUAAAUACACCAUUAGAUGGCGCUGUGUUCCACAACGUCCAGGUUGGAGUGCAGUAACUGUGACUGGGCGGGCUGACGGAGAGUAAAUACACCAUUAGAUGGCGCUGUGUUAAACAACGUCCAGGUUGGAGUGCAGUAACUGUGACUGGGCGGGCUGACGGAGAGUAAAUACACCAUUAGAUGGCGCUGUGUUCCACAACGUCCAGGUUGGAGUGCAGUAACUGUGACUGGGCGGGCUGACGGAGAGUAAAUACACCAUUAGAUGGCGCUGUGUUCCACAACGUCCAGGUUGGAGUGCAGUAACUGUGACUGGGCGGGCUGACGGAGAGUAAAUACACCAUUAGAUGGCGCUGUGUUAAACAACGUCCAGGUUGGAGUGCAGUAACUGUGACUGGGCGGGCUGACGGAGAGUAAAUACACCAUUAGAUGGCGCUGUGUUACACAACGUCCAGGUUGGAGUGCAGUAACUGUGACUGGGCGGGCUGACGGAGAGUAAAUACACCAUUAGAUGGCGCUGUGUUCCACAACGUCCAGGUUGGAGUGCAGUAACUGUGACUGGGCGGGCUGACGGAGAGUAAAUACACCAUUAGAUGGCGCUGUGUUAAACAACGUCCAGGUUGGAGUGCAGUAACUGUGACUGGGCGGGCUGACGGAGAGUAAAUACACCAUUAGAUGGCGCUGUGUUCCACAACGUCCAGGUUGGAGUGCAGUAACUGUGACUGGGCGGGCUGACGGAGAGUAAAUACACCAUUAGAUGGCGCUGUGUUACACAACGUCCAGGUUGGAGUGCAGUAACUGUGACUGGGCGGGCUGACGGAGAGUAUAUCAGUCUAUAAGAAGGUCCAUAAUCAGCGGGCAGGAGAUAAGGUCUCAAACCUCUCUACAAGCCACUUAAUCUUUACCACAAGUAAACGGUGGAGAUGGAACUGGCUGGCCAAUCCUGGUUAAAUUAAAGCUGAAGUCAGAAACAUAAGAGGGAGCUUCUGUCAUAGUUAAAUGGUCUCCCAUCCGCAAACUGAUCCCGCUUCAUGUUUAUGCCCAUUUGCUCUAUAAACAUGAUGCAUUCUGGUCAAGGGAUAUACUUCUCAAUAAUGCAUAAAAAUAUACAAUCUACAAUUUUACCACAUGACCGGAGACUUCAUAUUUUGCAUAUCUCUCUUUACUGAAAACUCCAGCAGCACAGAUCAUAAACAGAACGACCAAUCAAAACACAGCUAGAUAUUUCAUAAAAGGCCCUGCCAGUCUAAGCUCCUCCUCUUUCGUUGCUGCUCCUG
rnacentral:lncRNA from 1 species